UUAAGGGGGGAUCGAUUUUUAAUAAAUUCUAAUCGAUAUCUAAGUAUUGCUGAUUAGACGAUUAGGGUCGUCUGCUUUCUUUUUGGUUUACAACUUACAAGUACACCAGCAUGAUAGUUGAUAGGCUUCAAGUUUUGAAAAGGAGACUAAGAUCAGCUAAGAUUUCAAUUAAAAACGGAACAAUAACUUGGAUGGCUUUGGACGUGGAUGCACGAAAAUAAAAUUACUUAAAUGUGGUCUUCGUCAAUCGUCAUGUCAACUUUAGUGUCGCAGCUUUCCAGGUUUCCAUGCUCUCCUCUCCAUGCUGUUUGGCAGAUUUGAGGCCUGAGCCUGCUGGUGGUGCUGGACCUCCUUUAACUGAUGACCUCCUGUCAUCAGCAACAAUCACAGUAUCAUCACUUAGAUAAACAGCAUCCCAUUCAAUUAGAGAAAAUUCCAGCGUCGACCGAAUUACGGAUCUCUUCUUCCCUUUUCUGUAAAUGUUUUCGUGUAUGUCCAUGUGAAUAUGGGUGUAUUCACGAGGACUCCCUUUUUCCUAUCCU